UGAUCAUGCACUACGUCCCGCCUGACGA
rnacentral:sRNA from 1 species